GAGGAUAUAGCUCAAGUGGCAGAGUGCAUGCAUCAAAUGCACAAGGUCCUGGGUUCAAUCCCCAGUACCUUCU
rnacentral:tRNA from 1 species